GUAUGGCAACGCCGAGAUGGAGCCGCCCGACUCGGACUUCUCGGAGGAGAGCGACUCGGACUUCUCGGACAUCGACUGAAGACUGCUUACCGGCGCGUUAGUGGCACGGGGCAGCGCCGCCGCUGGCCGG
rnacentral:rRNA from 1 species